rnacentral:rRNA from 1 species
AAAACGACUCUCGGCAACGGAUUUCUCGGCUCUCGCAUCGAUGAAGAACGUAGCGAAAUGCGAUACUUGGUGUGAAUUGCAGAAUCCCGUGAACCAUCGAGUCUUUGAACGCAAGUUGCGCCCCAAGCCGUUAGGCCGAGGGCACGUCUGCCUGGGUGUCACGC